rnacentral:lncRNA from 1 species
GGGAUAUGGGCAAAGAGAAUAUGUGUCUUCCCUUCGUCUGCUUUUUCAGCACUAUUUUGUGGAAAAAAAAAAAACCCAACCAAAAAGCAAAACCUACUUGCAUUGGGUGAAUGUGUUCAGUUGGUGGCAGCAGAGUUCUGUUACAGAAAAUUCUUUGAGGCCCUGGUCUUAGAUAUUUUGAAGACAGCCAGAGGGAACAAAACAGUGACCCUGAUGCCUGCAUUAAAAACAACAGCAGCAACAACAACAACAACAACAACAACAUAGGUGAUUCUGAUGAUCACCAGGAUUGAAAACCACUGGACCAUUGCUUUGAGAGAUGGUGCCAUGGCCAGAGACAGAGGUCCACUAUCCAUUGGUUGAUAUCCAUUCUUCUGUGGAGAAUCCUGCUGGCCUUACCUGUAUGACCCUACUGGAUAUGAAUGAGAAAGAACAUAUUGAAAUUGAGAAAAGAAGAUUUACAUGA